UUGUAGGUAACAAUCGAUUUACAGCAGUGGCGAGGGAACUGCUUACCAAUACCAGUUCGUUACUUACGUAGGAACAGUGCAAAAGGACAUUCCGUUGUAUGAUUAAGAUGGCGUGCGAGAAACGGUCGCAUCUUUGUGCGAUUCUUGUUUUGUGUUCGCUAGCUCUCUUUUUCCACAUUGUUGGUUUUGUGACACCGGGAUGGCUUAUCAUGAGACGGUCUGUGGAGGACGUUUCCUUCUUCUCAAUGAAGGGACAACUCAUCGAUAACGGUGGCGUUACUGUACCCCCGGGGGCGGAGGAUGACGAGCCGGACAUUUUGUUCAGAAAGAGAAGAUCCGAUCAUGACGGUGAUAGUAGCAGUUCAGAAGAGCACGAAAAUGAUGAUAGGCCGCACCACGACGGGCCGCACGACGGGCCGCACCACGGCGGGCCGCCCCAUGGAGGGCCACCCCACAGACCGCACCACGACGGGCCCCACCACGGUGGACCUGACCAUCACGGUGAUAGAACUCAUCGCCCGCCAAAGAAAAUGCCUAGACCGACUACAGAACAGGCACUACAAGAAAAACUGGAAGGAGAAGAGGAUAUGAUGAAGGAAAAGAUGAUGUUUGGCGCCUGGAUGAUGGAAGUUACGGCAGAAGAUAGUUUCAAUGUAAAAACAAGUUACGGACUCUGGUAUUCUACUGUGUGUGUCUAUAAAGGGAGAAUGGGAGACCACGAUUCAAAAGAAAAACACAUGGACAUGGAUCGAUCAUCCAGUGAAGAAGACGAUCAUGAACGGAAAGGACGGUGUCGUUGCAAGAAGAUCUCGACAAAAUGUGCCUUACACUAUGCAUCUAUGUAUGAAGACUUUUCGUUCUUUACCCCCAAAGGCGGCUACCUGAGCUACAAAAACUUUGGCAACGCAAGUUUGACGGAACACCGUGUAGAGAAUUGCCUCGUCUUGGUUUUCAUGUUCCUUGGUUUGGUCGCUGCCAUCGCAGGGUUCAAAAAGGUCAAUGGGUGCAGAUGUGCCGGAGGUGCCUGUGUUAUCUUCAUGUUACUUGCCGCGUUCAUCGCCCUUGUGCCUGUAGCCCGGCUUAGUCACUACAGCGUCAACAGACAUCAUCAAGGAUCAGCGGUCAGGGUGCACGCCCCAUACUCUGUUAUUGCCACUGGUCUCGGCUCCAUUUUCGCUCUUAUCACAGCCCUUGUUGCCGGAUGUGCCUUGAUGAAAACCCGAAAGGAAAGAGCUGGAAAGUGGUACCAGUUUAACAACGAACUGGAAUUGCCCAAGGAAAACAAAGAAAAGCCCGGUUUAUACUUCACUGCAGAAGCACUUCCGGCGAAACCAGGACUGUAUGACGUCUGUGACUUUGGAGACAUCAAACCAGUCGAAGAAGUGAAGAAACCGGAAGCGGAAGAAGAGCCUGAUGAGUUCGUUUUGUAAAGCGUGUACAAGACAUUCAUUUAAAGCUUGAUUUCAGGUUACAUACCUAAAGUUCGGUGUGCAUAGAUUUCCUGUUUUAUGUUAAGUGUCACUGUGACCAUCCUAGCUCUCAUACACUUUCAACAAAUGUUUACACCGAGCCCAUUGGUGAUUGAAUGACAUCACUUUCAUCACUGUCUGCUAGGUGAUUUUUCUACGGAUCGCAUCGAAAAGGAAAAUAUUUCAAGUAAAUAUCCAAUCAUUUCAAUAAAUUGUCAAAGCCAAAAGAUUUUCAGGAUGUUUUAUAAAUUAUCUGAUAUUUUAUUUAUCUUUUGCAUAAAUUUUUGACCAAUCGGCAAUUUCCUUAGACACAAUUGACUUUUCCCGAACUUGAUUCUUUAUAGGUCUGUAACCAUCAGUUUGUUAUUUAAGUUUGUCCUGAGAGUGAAUUGUAUCUCCGAUAUAGUGAUUGCUUGAUACUUUUUAAAUGUUUAAUUGUUGUAUUGUUAAUGCUUACUGUGUACUUCGUUGAUGUAAUAUUUUUCGCUUUCUUUAUUUUGUUCCAAGUUUUACUCAGUCUUGUGAUACCGGAUGUUUUCGGUUGACAUUGCUGGACGAUGAUUAGAGCCGGACUCGAUAGGCACAUUUGCUAGAAAACGUUAAAAGUUUCAAAUUCAAAAAUCUAUUUCUGAAUUGAAGUUAUCGGCGUGGUAGAAAAAAAAAGCGAUUUAACUGUUAAAAGGAACAAUCAAUUUUAUAACAGUGUUGAUAUUGUUUAACAAAUGUCAUUUUGGUAUAAUAAAAUAUAUCUUUAUAAGA
rnacentral:misc_RNA from 1 species